CCCAGCCGGUGAGCACCCUACCCAGCACUCACUCUGCAUCAGCACAGAGUGAGAUUCUGCAACGGCAUCAGAAGAACAAGCUGUUCCUCCUGCCCUAGAGGGGGCCUAGGGAGGGGAAGGCAGAAAUAUGCGCUACAAGAGGACACAGUGCCAGGUCCAUGAUACAGACAGAACAAGAGUGCUGCAGGGGCCUGAGAAAAGAGUCGUCAAUUUUGGAUGGGGAGGGAUGGAUGGGCUGUGAGGCCCCCCAGCCAAGAAGCUGGAAGAACUUUCUCGAAUCCUGCAGAGCUGCUCAGGGGCCUGCCUUGUAUCUGCCUGGCUGUUCCAGGGAGGUUGGAAGACAAACUGAAGGCUUUCCAUUGCUGAACAUCAGACCUCAGAAGUACUGACUGGAGGGCUCCCAAGCUGGCUCAGAUCAGCCUCAUAUUGCCCCGAACAGUAUCAUCACCGCUUUGCCCUGGUGGGGAAACUACUCUUUACCCUCUGUAUGAACCUAUGAAGCACGCAGGUCACUGGGGCAAUUUCUGAGUUUGAAGUUGCUUGGAUUUGCCAUUGCUGCUAUGUUGAAGGGAAGGGAGUGCUUUUGAAGAAAAUGUUCAUCUCUAGUUCCAGUAACAGGCAUGGAAUUGACACAUAACAGGUGUUUGUUGAAUUGAGCUGAAUAAAUUAGAAUCUGGGGCAAAAUAUAGUUGUUCUUUAUAGUCCUAAGUCUAUUAAUAAAGCAGAUAUAUCCUUAUUACAUGUUUUACUGCCAUAAAUGUGUCUACCAGAACUAGGAAUAAUGACAGACGGAAGGGUUGAGGAUUCUUUCUGACGAUAACCUGCCAGGACACCCGCUUCCUCCCUCCCUGUCCAGAUGGGGUGGACUACAGUGCUCUGGCUCACACCAGGGGUGGAGGUAUUCCCAUUAUUUGUCUGUUUUGUUGUCUGUAGUGCUUAGUCAGAAUGCUGCCUGAUACAUUGCAGGGGUUCAAUGACUUUCUGUGGAAUGAAUGAACAGACAGAUGGUUACUUACCCCAGGGACAUAAGAGCCUCACAUAGCUGCAGCGUGAGCAGUGCCCUCUGCAGUCCUGGACCCAGAUGCAUAGAGGCCGAGAUGUUCAGCCUUCCACCCCAUGGCCAUCCCGGAGCCUGGGGCUGACUCUGUCUGGUUUGGCUGCU
rnacentral:lncRNA from 10 species